ACUAUGCUGGGUGUUGAUUCUUGGGUAUAUUCUGUUCAGUGGUUUACAUUCAGCUCUCAUGGGUAUACAGCUUUAGUGGGCACCCGUCUUCUCCUCAGAGCUACAUACAUACAUAGCUUUGUUACCUCAUAUAUGUUACUCCACAUUCCAGUCACGGGAAAUAAAAAGUGAUUCUUUUUGCCCAUCUUACAUGAAUUGGUGUCAGUGUUUGACACAGAUGCCUGUUUAGGAACCUUAAGCAAGAAAGCCAGUGAAAAGGAGGGAGCAAGUAGCACAAUUGGUAGUACUUUGUGUUGGCAACUUACACUGAUGCUGUGGAAUCCUAACUUAAGAUCUGGCCCAAUGGUCCAGUACUGUCCCCAAGUAAAUUCCAAAGUGAACAGCUACUGCAUAUUAGUUGAUUAAGCACUUAGAUCAUCCCAGAUUAGGAAACUUUAUGACAUUUCCCACAGUUAGUACUUAAUUGGGUGGUGAUGCCCAGUAUUAUAAAGGAUCCUGUGACCGGACCGAAGUGAAAAGUAGAAAGUGCUUAUGUGCCAAAACAAGAUAAGGCCUCCAGUUUGGUGGAGCUCUCUAAGAAACAAAUACAGUUAUAUAUAUAAGAUAUUGCUAGGUUGCCCAAGCUGGCUUUGAACUUACAGUCCUCCUGCCUCAACCUCCCAAGUCACCAGGAUUACAGGUAUUUAUGAAACACCUGUGAUGUACCAGACAUUGAGAUAAAAUGACUAAGAAGCUUCUUCUGCCCUCAGGAAGUUCACUGUCUACUUUGGGAGGGAUGCGUGGAUGAGUGUCUGGAUAAUUUCAGUGGAAGCUGAUAGAUUCUAUGACAGUUGUGUGAAUAAUUUGCUCAAGUAAAAUUUAUAUACAAUCUCCUAAUUGUAUCUCAAAUGUAAAGUUUCUACUGGUGAUGCUAUUGUUCAAAGAAUAUCUACUUAUACUCAAGCUGCUGUUGGCUUGGUCUCAAAAUAUUCAUUUUGUUUUAAGAACUAAAGACCUCUCCUUCUGGUAACAAAAAAGAGUAAAAUGUAGUCAUUAGCAUUUGUGUAAAAUUACAUUCAUGGUAUUUCACAAUUUCCAAAUAAAAGGGAGAAGAUAAGCCUAAAGCUUUGUCACCUCGGUAACCUUCCAGCUUAGUUCUCAUUCUUUAUUUUCUUUUGGAUAAAGGAAUGAGAAUAUAAGAAAAAAGACCCAAGAACCAUUUGAGAAACAAACUUUGGUAUGAAAGGAGUUUUCUAUUACGAGUCUGCAUUGAAGUUUAAAGUAGGCUCAGGAAAUCAGUGCCUGCUUUCUGAAAAAACAGACAAAAAGGUUCCUGGUAUCCUGCCUGACAUUCAGAACUGGCAUUAGCACUGAAGCAAGUGGCCUUGUUUCAAGGGUACCCAGGUGCCAGGCCGCUGUUCUCUGAAUAGGCAUUGAAGUAGCUUUUAGCAACAUUCAUUAUCAAGCAAGGACAAAGAAGGUGGGGAGGGAAUGAUAACUAAGAAGUGACUUCCAAGCAACUGAAAAUAAUCAAAAUAUAUAUAAGCUUUUUUUCUGAAGUUCAGUGGUACCUACUAUUAGCAGAAUUUUUAUUGUACAAAGAUUAACUCAUAUAGUUUUAUAUAUCAUAUUUUAAAACAUGAUAUGAAGGUAAUUUACUUUCACUGUUUUUAUAUAUAUGAAAAAUGAGACCCAGGUUAAUUUUAAUCUGACUGCUCUAUUAUUUGAACAUAUACUUUUUAAUGCUAAGGUUUAAUUAAUACACAGUGAAAAAUUCAAAUGUUAUAUAGAUAUUAUAAGGAUAGCUCUGUAACAUUUUAUGAAUGUGCCUUUUGACAUUGUAAUUACCCACCAAGAUCAAGAUAUAAAAAUUUCCAAUCACCUGAGAAACAAUAAAUAUUAAAUUCAUUUGCCAAAGACAGAGCCUCCACAAUGAA